UCCAGACUCCUACGGGAGGCAGCAGUGGGGAAUAUUGCACAAUGGGGGGAACCCUGAUGCAGCGACGCCGCGUGGGCGAGGAAGUAUUUCGGUAUGUAAAGCCCUAUCGGCAGGGAAGAAGAAAUGACGGUACCUGAAUAAGAAGCACCGGCUAAAUACGUGCCAGCAGCCGCGGUAAUACGGAGGAUGCGAGCGUUAUCCGGAUUUAUUGGGUUUAAAGGGUGCGUAGGCGGAAUGCCAAGUCAGCGGUAAAAUCGCGGGGCUCAACCUCGCUCCGCCGUUGAAACUGGCGUUCUUGAGUGGGCGAGAAGUAUGCGGAAUGCGUGGUGUAGCGGUGAAAUGCAUAGAUAUCACGCAGAACUCCGAUUGCGAAGGCAGCGCACCGGCGCCCUACUGACGCUCAGGCACGAAAGCGUGGGUAUCGAACAGGAUUAGAUACCCCAGUA
rnacentral:rRNA from 1 species